CCCUUUGCGCAGUGGCAGUAUCGUAGCCAAUGAGGUUUAUCUGAGGCGCGAUUAUUGCUAAUUGAAAACUUUUCCCAAUACCCCGCCUUGACGACUUGAAAUCUUUUCUAUGUUAUUAUA